rnacentral:rRNA from 1 species
UACUAGAGUAGCACUCGCAUAUCAAUAAGCGGAGGAAAAGAAACUAACAAGGAUUCCCCUAGUAACGGCGAGUGAAGCGGGAAGAGCUCAAAUUUGAAAUCUUAAAGGGUUUCCCUUUACGAAUUGUAGUUUAAAGAAGUGUUUUCUGUUGAGGUUUUGGUAAAAGUUCUUUGGAAUAGGACAUCAUAGAGGGUGAGAAUCCCGUAUUUGACCUUUACUUUCAACUUUGUGAUACACUUUCAAAGAGUCGGAUUGUUUGGGAAUGCAGUCCAAAAUGGGUGGUAAAUUUCAUCUAAAGCUAAAUAUUGGCGAGAGACCGAUAGCGAACAAGUACCGUGAGGGAAAGAUGAAAAGAACUUUGAAAAGAGAGUUAAAUCAGUACGUGAAAUUGUCAAAAGGGAAGCGUUUGACACCAGUGUUGUUUUUCUGAAAAUCAAUUAAAGAACUGUUUAUGCUAAGCUGUUUAGACUUUAUCAGCUAUCUGUUUAGUUUUGAGCUUUUCUUUAAUGCACUUUUCAGUUAACAAGUCAACAUCAAUUUCUUUUGCUGUAAAAAAGCUUGAGGAAGGUGGCUUGAGAUUCGUCUUAAGUGUUUAUAGCCUCUUGCCUAUGCAGUCGGAGAGAUUGAGGUCUGCAGCGUAGAUCCUUCGGGGCUAAAUGCAUUUGUGCUAAGUUAUAGCAUUUCAUAGACAACUUGUUGACUAUGAUUUGUCUUGUAGCUUACUCGCUUAUGUUAUUUUACCUACGCUUAGGAUGUUGAACUACUGAGACAUAGA